rnacentral:lncRNA from 1 species
AAAAAUAAAUUACAAUAGAAGAAUGAAGCUACUAAUAUUUCCCAGCAUCAUUAACUUUCAUUCCAACUCAAUUUUAUAAGUUUAUAUGGUCCAAAAAUUACCUGAACAGCAGAAAGAAGAACAAAUACAGCAAAGUUAGAUCUUUCCAAAAUCAACAUCAAAAUAAUUAAAUGGGCAGCAACAACAGCAAUAGACAGUGAUGGCAGAUUCGAAUCCAAGAAAACAAAUUCAGCUCACAAUUUCAACUCUGAAGGGAUAUUAUAGCUAUAGCUACAUAUUAUUAUUAUUAUUAUUAUUAUUAUUAUUAUUAUUAUUAUUAUUAUUAUUAUUAAUAUUAUUAUUAUUAUUAUUAUUAUUAUUAUUAUUAUUAUUGUCUGUCCAGUCCCCCUCUGGAAGUGUGUUCCUCCUCUUAUUAAGUGUGAUGAAAUACCCCUAUAUAUCAAAAUAAAUAUCUAUUUCAAAAAUUCAAAAGAUAAUCUUUUUGACAGAUUUUCUACAAAGUCUGCUCUUAAAUUCAAAAAGCAAUGCUUUCUCGACCAAAUCUUGUCAAAAGAGAGAGUAUUUCAAACAAAAUCUUCCUUUUGUUGUUCAAGGAUAGACUUUUGUUCAAAAAUUGUCCACAAGUCUAUAUUCCUUCCCAAGCAAAUGACUUUUGAGUUCUGUACUCAAAAAGUCUUGAAGUAGUAAAUAAACAAACAAACAAAUACUAUAUACUCUUAUGUAUUUUUCACUACUUCACUUUUAUCAGUACAAAACUUAUUUUACAAUAUCACCAAGUGCAAAAACAAAAAAUUUAAAAUUUCAAACUUCAAAAACUAAUACUAAAAUAAUUAAUAAAAAAAAUCUUAAAAUUAAAUAUUAAAAAUUAAAAUCAACCAUGAAAAAUAAUAGCACUUUACCGUUUUACAAUUCAAAUGGCCGAAGAAAUGGUGGUAUGCCAAGAAGGAUGUUCCGGCAGGUCGCCGGAUUUUUGGACGGAUUUUGGUCGCCGGAUUUUUGAGGUAGAAUUGACAUCAAUAGCUAGGUCUUGAGGAACUCUAUCCGUUGAUGUAUGUAUU